rnacentral:rRNA from 1 species
UACGGAGGAUGCGAGCGUUAUCCGGAUUUAUUGGGUUUAAAGGGUGCGCAGGCGGGAGAUUAAGUCGGCGGUGAAAUUUUGCAGCUCAACUGUAAAAGUGCCUUCGAAACUGGUUUCCUUGAGUGUAGAUGAAGUAGGCGGAAUUUGUGGUGUAGCGGUGAAAUGCAUAGAUAUCACGAGGAACUCCGAUUGCGCAGGCAGCUUACUAAACUACUACUGACGCUCAGGCACGAAGGCGUGGGGAUCAAACAGGAUUAGAUACCCGU